rnacentral:rRNA from 1 species
AGGGUGUAAACGCUGCAGACUUGGUGUUGGAGGCCCUUUGGGGGGCAUUCAGUGCCGGAGAGAAGUUGUUAAGUCUGCUACUUGGGAGUACGUCCGCAAGGAUGAAACUUAAAGGAAUUGGCGGGGGGAGCACCGCAACGGGAGGAGCGUGCGGUUUAAUUGGAUUCAACACCGUAAACUCACCAGGGAAGACUGUUACAUGAAGGCCGAGAUGAAGACUCUGCUAGAUUUUCAGAGAGGAGGUGCAUGGCGUCAGUGACU